UCCUACGGGAGGCAGCAGUGGGGAAUUUUCCGCAAUGGGCGAAAGCCUGACGGAGCAACGCCGCGUGAGGGAUGAAGGCCUCUGGGCUGUAAACCUCUUUUAUCAAGGAAGAAGAUCUGACGGUACUUGAUGAAUAAGCCACGGCUAAUUCCGUGCCAGCAGCCGCGGUAAUACGGGAGUGGCAAGCGUUAUCCGGAAUUAUUGGGCGUAAAGCGUCCGCAGGCGGUCUGUCAAGUCUGCUGUUAAAGCGUGGAGCUUAACUCCAUUUCGGCAGUGGAAACUGACAGACUAGAGUGUGGUAGGGGCAGAGGGAAUUCCCGGUGUAGCGGUGAAAUGCGUAGAUAUCGGGAAGAACACCAGUGGCGAAGGCGCUCUGCUGGGCCAUAACUGACGCUCAUGGACGAAAGCCAGGGGAGCGAAAGGGAUUAGAUACCCCUGUAGUCCUGGCCGUAAACGAUGAACACUAGGUGUCGGGGGAAUCGACCCCCUCGGUGUCGUAGCCAACGCGUUAAGUGUUCCGCCCGGGGAGUACGCACGCAAGUGUGAAACUCAAAGGAAUUGACGGA
rnacentral:rRNA from 1 species